rnacentral:ncRNA from 2 species
AAUUUAAUAUUUAGAAUAGGUGCCGUUGAUCAUAGAAUCAACUAUUAAAAGGAAAGAGAGUGUAAGUCUCUCACGGUCCCGCCGCUGUAAAAGAAGAAUCUUUUCCAAAAUACCACUGGGAAACCGGGAAGGUGGAAAAGGUGAUGACGCUUGAGUCAGAAAGCCUGCCUAUUCUGUAUCAUCAAU